UUGACUGGUAUUUCACUUCAUGAUUCCAUUUCUUUUCCGGGCUCCUGGUGUAGCUGUUUUGUUCCACACCUGAGAGUGAUUACUGUCUCCGGCCCAAACAAAAAAAACACCUGAGGCCAAUAUAACCAGACUAAAGAGUAAAGAGGUGUGAACAUGCCUUUAAGUCCAAAUCUCAGUCAGCCAGAAAUAAAUCUGAACAACUGAAAAGACAUCAGAUAAAUCCUGGGAUUUUUCUCUGGUCUGAAGUUAAAGUGUCAGAAGUGACCGGACGUCAGGAGGGGUUAACGAGAGGACGCUGAGGUCCACACUUUGACGUCGUAGGUGGUUCCAGGCUGCAGGUUGGUCAGAGUGUAAGAGCUCACGUCUCCAACGAAGAAGUCGAUGGGCUGGUUCAUGCCUGGAAACACAGAGCGGGGAAUGAGAAGUGAGUGAGAAACUGACGAGAAGUAAAAAUCAGGGGUGUAGAUCAGCCGGUAUCCCUGGAUGGGUGCAGACACGGGGUCCCAGGCCACCCUGAAGCGUGUGUACCACUCGUCUGAGAUUCGAAGGUUUCUGGGACCCAACAUGUCGACUGUGACACGGAGGAGGCAUCGAAUUUUAGACAUGUCAUUUGCUUCCAUGCUUGGGAUCAUUGUGCAGUUUGGGUCGAGCAUUAGCUGUGGGACAGAUGGCCCGACAGACUGGGGUGAAUUUGCUGGGACGUCCACCCCUGAUAGGACCGUGGCAUUGAGUUAACACACCUGAAUGCUCCAGACCUGCCAAAACUUCAGCCUUUAUAAAGCGAUCCCUCGCCGUCGGCGUACAGAGCAGUGACACUGACGGAGUAGGGAGUAUCCGGUAUCAGGUUGUCCAGGAAGGCGUUGUUAAUACUUCCAGGAACCAGGACCUUUUCGGAGAAGAAACGCAGGAGUCAAAAUACAUAUUGAUAUAAUCAUCAAAGAGGCUCUGCCUAUUCAAAUGAGCCUCUUCAUGCAUUACAUACAGAUCUGGCCGGAGUAAUCUACAUAAUGACCUCAGUGCUCAUCUUGCAUCCAGUGUUCUCCAAGGUUUCUUCUGCCAAAUGGUUCCUCAAACACUAACAAAGGCUUGGAAGGUGAAAUGCUAAACAAACCAUCGGUCAGCGGGAGACGUGUUCUAACAACACGAGUGACUGCAGACUGUCACUUGUCACUGGGAUUAUCACAUCAUCUAUUAGCUGGUUUGUGGGCCAUUAAAGUCUCUGCCGUUACAUCAUGGGAAAUAUAUCUUCUGCUUGGACUCGAGUUCCCCCUCAUCUUGAGACUGGUUUGGUUGCAGCAAAUGUUUUGGGCCCAAAGGUUUUGGCAUGUUGGAGCAUGAAAUAGGUUUCACAGCGAUGAUGUAGUGGCUAAGAUCCCACAACUGGAAGCACACACACACCUACACACGCACAACUGUUAGCCUGGGGUUAAAGCCCACCAGUAAACUCUAAAGUGAGGACAAUGGAUUGGACACGGACCUUUUAAAACAUUAUAAACGAGACUGGAGGUUAUAGUCAUUUCCUGAAAGCAGUACUGCUCUCGAGGGCUGGGAUGUACUUCAUCGGCUGAAGUAAACCUGAAUGAUGAGGCCAAAGUAUGCAGUUGUUCUGGGUAACUGAUGGGCUUUUGAAUGGGACGCAUUCA